rnacentral:rRNA from 1 species
AGUGAACGCUGGCGUUAGGCCUAACACAUGCAAGUCGAACGGCAGCACAGUAAGAGCUUGCUCUUACGGGUGGCGAGUGGCGGACGGGUGAGGAAUACAUCGGAAUCUACUUUUUCGUGGGGGAUAACGUAGGGAAACUUACGCUAAUACCGCAUACGACCUACGGGUGAAAGCAGGGGAUCUUCGGACCUUGCGCGAUUGAAUGAGCCGAUGUCGGAUUAGCUAGUUGGCGGGGUAAAGGCCCACCAAGGCGACGAUCCGUAGCUGGUCUGAGAGGAUGAUCAGCCACACUGGAACUGAGACACGGUCCAGACUCCUACGGGAGGCAGCAGUGGGGAAUAUUGGACAAAGGGCGCAAGCCUGAUCCAGCCAUACCGCGUGGGUGAAGAAGGCCUUCGGGUUGUAAAGCCCUUUUGUUGGGAAAGAAAAGCAGCAGGUUAAUACCCCGCUGUUCUGACGGUACCCAAAGAAUAAGCACCGGCUAACUUCGUG